rnacentral:rRNA from 1 species
AUUGAACGCUGGCGGCAGGCCUAACACAUGCAAGUCGAGCGGCAGCGGGAAGUAGCUUGCUACUUUGCCGGCGAGCGGCGGACGGGUGAGUAAUGUCUGGGAAACUGCCUGAUGGAGGGGGAUAACUACUGGAAACGGUAGCUAAUACCGCAUGACCUCGCAAGAGCAAAGUGGGGGACCUUCGGGCCUCACGCCAUCGGAUGCGCCCAGAUGGGAUUAGCUAGUAGGUGAGGUAAUGGCUCACCUAGGCGACGAUCCCUAGCUGGUCUGAGAGGAUGACCAGCCACACUGGAACUGAGACACGGUCCAGACUCCUACGGGAGGCAGCAGUGGGGAAUAUUGCACAAUGGGCGCAAGCCUGAUGCAGCCAUGCCGCGUGUGUGAAGAAGGCCUUCGGGUUGUAAAGCACUUUCAGCGAGGAGGAAGGGUUCAGUGUUAAUAGCACUGUUCAUUGACGUUACUCGCAGAAGAAGCACCGGCUAACUCCGUGCCAGCAGCCGCGGUAAUACGGAGGGUGCAAGCGUUAAUCGGAAUUACUGGGCGUAAAGCGCACGCAGGCGGUUUGUUAAGUCAGAUGUGAAAUCCCCGAGCUUAACUUGGGAACUGCAUUUGAAACUGGCAAGCUAGAGUCUUGUAGAGGGGGGUAGAAUUCCAGGUGUAGCGGUGAAAUGCGUAGAGAUCUGGAGGAAUACCGGUGGCGAAGGCGGCCCCCUGGACAAAGACUGACGCUCAGGUGCGAAAGCGUGGGGAGCAAACAGG